AGCUAGGCUACCGGCAAGCGGGAAGCGGGACUGAGUUGUAGCCAGGAGCCGAAAGGCCGGGUGACUGCUGCUGUCAGUCUCCGCGGGCCGGAGCAAACCUCCCGAGACAGGGCGUGGGAGCUUGAGGAGUUCGGAGAGCGGGCUGUGGACUCGUGCCUGGGUCUUUGGUUUGAGCCCUGGCUUCGGCCUUACUCGUAUUUCCCUGCAAGUACGGCCCCUCUCAGUCUUUCCUGAAGUCGGUGGGGUUUGGACUUUAUUAUUAUUAUUUUGUUGAGAGUCCAUUGUAUGGAAGCACCGGUUGACCUGCGCAGCGCGCCGUGGAGACCGCCAUGAGGUAGAAGCUAGGGGAGGGAGGGCUUAGAGAUGCGUGUAUGGUUUACCUGCGUGCAGUAUUGGAGGUUGAGGUGAAAAAUCUGGCUUUUGAUAUCUUCGUGGAGGACUACAUUAUUUCAAUCCUGAAUCUGGUUCAGUUUCCUUAUUGACUUAUGAUAUUAAAAAUGCUUAAUUAA